rnacentral:lncRNA from 1 species
GUAUCUGCAACCUUUGGGGUGGGUUUCAGAACUGUUAGCCUCCGUAGAGCCAGAGAAACAGAUGCAGCUCCGAGCCUUUUCUGUCACUGUGCAGAAUGCGGAGGAGCCACCAGGCUUCCUAUGGCACUGACAACUAAGCGGCGGCCGUUGCAUCUGUGAGCGCCUGCGUCGUCCUUUACGAUGACUAAAGCGAAAAUGACCAGUCGGAUCAUUCCAAAAAGAGGCUCUGCGGCGCUCAGGAGGAGAUACUGAACACGUGUAAGGCCCCUUACAGAAGCCUGUUGCUGCCGCUGCAGUCACGGAUGCGCGUUACUCUCCUCGAGGGUACGGAAGUUUCAAGUGAGGGCACGGCACACCUCGGUUGCCCGAAGGCUUAGCGCCAGUCUGUGUUUUUAUUUCAAACGGUAUUUUUGUCCAUGUCAUCUUUUCGAGUGUAACAGGAUGAGAUUCCUCAGCUCUUUUGAUGUUCCACUCAUGCCAGAACACGUUGUCAAGGCAACUGCCUAUGGUCGCAGAAAAAGUGGCUGCUGCCAGUUCGCAGCGCGUGGGAUCGGAGGGGUGUUUUUUGGCCACUGCAGCAGAUGGCAAAACCCGCUGGCUCUCAAAGGUUCGUCGCUACUAAACAUGCGCGCCCCAGUGAUACGUGAGCCGCGUCAAGCUCACUAUGGAAGGAGGUGUUGAGAGAACAGCCAGAAACGGUUAAGCCGGCAACGUGCAAAUUUCAUCGGCAUGUAAUGCCUCUCUGCGGAAGGAACUGUUAUGUUCCUUUGAGUAGGUAAUACUCCCGUGUAACGAGGCAUAGGACAUGCCGGUGGCUCUCACCCAUAGGUACUCUACUGUGUCAUUAUGUGGAAGAAUGGGGCCCGGUUCCCCAUGGAAUUCUAACUUCCCACUAGUGGAGAGGAAAUCUUCUCCUGCUCAAGGGUGGCAGUUUCUCUCAAUAUUAGACUUGUGAUAACGUGCUGCGAGAUAUCCCCAACAAACGCGGAAGUCAUUUCUUCUGUGAGAAGGAACGAUUGGUAGGUGGUUCAGAGAUGCGGGUUGUGAUAACGUGCUGCGAGAUCCCCCCAACAAAUGUGGAAGUCAUUUCUUCUGUGAGGAUGAACUAUUGGUAGGUGGUUCAGAGAUGCAGUCCACAUUCGACGGAACAACCUGGCUUAUUGCCGGUAUGGAACUAUGUACAAGAAACCUCGCACCAGAGAUUUUUUGCGGUAGACCUGGGACUAAUGGAUACUAAUAGAUCAUGCUUCACAAGAUGAGCUGUGAGUCGAUGCCGUAAAAAAAAAUAAGGAAUACAUGUGGUGAAGACGGUACGAACGGUACGGCUACACAUCGCCUGAAAAGAAGAGGGAGAAAACGUGUGUUGAUUAUUGAACUGCUUCGUUUCGAAGCGUACGCGUACGCUUCUUGUAAACAUGUCCGCAUGUUUGCGUUACAGCGUGCAGUAUGAGAAUAUAUAUUAUACUCACCCCCUUUCUUAUGCCCCCUCAAUAUACCUCCAGCUGAACUAACAGCCACGGAAACAAGUCUCAGAAUCAGGGAACUAGGAAGCGGGGUGACCAUGCGGGGCCCACAUCUAGGUUCCGGCGCUGAUCGAGUCUCUUUCGACAGCAUGUAUACCCGUCCCCUCUCAGCGGUAGGAGAGUUGAACGGCGAGUAACAUGUCUGAUUUUUUUUUCGAUACUAAAAGGCAACAGAAAGAUGAAGCGGUUUGUUACUGCGCUUGCGAAAAGAGGGAAAACAGACUCAUCCUUAACAUUUCGCCUGCCCCGAUAGAAGAGGCAAAUGUCCUACCUAACAACGUCACCCACAAGAGCCUCGUUUUUGUCGCAUGUAUUUCUUAACCUGAAUGAACGCCGAGAGAGUGAUAAUCCCAGAUGGUUAGGACUCAACUGUGGCUCAAGGAAACCGCAGUGGUUGGUGCUUUACGGCCAUUUUCCGGACGUUCCAGGGACUCUGCGGCAUAGCGUCUGUGUUCUUACCCUGGUUGAACCCAUGGCGAGUAUGUGCAGUUUUCUUUACGUUUUCUGAUAAUCCGUCCCCUAUAUGUUCAUUUCAUGGCAAUCUUUCGUACGAAAUCGUUUCCGGACACAUUCCAUUGUGCCGCCCCGAAGUGACUUGGUUAGAUUCGUUCCACGCUGCGGUAUUUUAGAGUGAAUUCCUCGUUGGAACAUUCUUGGGGUUCAGGUUCCAGUGCUCAGUUGCUUCAGAAAGUUUGAGGAAGACAGCUGAACCCCUUCUAGAGGUAGUGUUACAAAGAGGCUAUUCAGUAGAAUUGCAUCAUGGAUGGAGAUGAGAAAGCUACAGUGUGUUGAUUAACUCUAAAUCAUAAAUCAGUCCAGCAGGC